GGAGGGUAGGCGAAUGGCUAGCAACCGCAUUCGAAAUGCGGCGCCCCUUUAUGGGGUUGCGGGUUCGAGUCCCGUGCCCUCCG
rnacentral:tRNA from 1 species